GAUGAACGCUGGCGGCGUGCCUAAUACAUGCAAGUCGAGCGAACGGACGAGAAGCUUGCUUCUCUGAUGUUAGCGGCGGACGGGUGAGUAACACGUGGAUAACCUACCUAUAAGACUGGGAUAACUUCGGGAAACCGGAGCUAAUACCGGAUGACAUUUUGAACCGCAUGGUUCAAAAGUGAAAGACGGUCUUGCUGUCACUUAUAGAUGGAUCCGCGCUGCAUUAGCUAGUUGGUAAGGUAACGGCUUACCAAGGCAACGAUGCAUAGCCGACCUGAGAGGGUGAUCGGCCACACUGGAACUGAGACACGGUCCAGACUCCUACGGGAGGCAGCAGUAGGGAAUCUUCCGCAAUGGGCGAAAGCCUGACGGAGCAACGCCGCGUGAGUGAUGAAGGUCUUCGGAUCGUAAAACUCUGUUAUUAGGGAAGAACAUAUGUGUAAGUAACUGUGCACAUCUUGACGGUACCUAAUCAGAAAGCCACGGCUAACUACGCG
rnacentral:rRNA from 1 species